GGAAGCUGCUUCUUCCUUCCACGUGGUGCUAGGAUAUAUAACAAACUGAUGGACUUCAUGCGACAACAGUACAGAGAUAGAGGAUACCAAGAGGUGUUGAGCCCAAAUAUUUACAAUAUGCAACUAUGGGAAACUUCUGGACAC